AACCCAUGGUGAGGGCACCUUUUCAAUAAGUCCUUGUAUCUCUCCCAUGCAUCGUAGCGUGUUUCUAAAUCCAUCUGCACAAAAUAUUUUAGUAAGAAU
rnacentral:snoRNA from 1 species